rnacentral:rRNA from 1 species
CCUAAUACAUGCAAGUAGAACGCUGAAGAGAGGAGCUUGCUCUUCUUGGAUGAGUUGCGAACGGGUGAGUACGCGUAGUAACCUGCUUGUAGCGGGGAUAACUAUUGGAAACGAUAGCUAAUACCGCAUAACAAUGGAUGACACAUGUCAUUUAUUUGAAAGGGGCAAUUGCUCCACUACAAGAUGGACCUGCGUUGUAUUAGCUAGUAGGUGAGGUAACGGCUCACCUAGGCGACGAUACAUAGCCGACCUGAGAGGGUGAUCGGCCACACUGGGACUGAGACACGGCCCAGACUCCUACGGGAGGCAGCAGUAGGGAAUCUUCGGCAAUGGGGGCAACCCUGACCGAGCAACGCCGCGUGAGUGAAGAAGGUUUUCGGAUCGUAAAGCUCUGUUGUAAGUCAAGAACGAGUGUGAGAGUGGAAAGUUCACACUGUGACGGUAGCUACCCAGAAAGGGACGGCUAACUACGUGCCAGCAGCCGCGGUAAUACGUAGGUCCCGAGCGUUGUCCGGAUUUAUUGGGCGUAAAGCGAGCGCAGGCGGUUUGAUAAGUCUGAAGUUAAAGGCUGUGGCUCAACCAUAGUUCGCUUUGGAAACUGUCAAACUUGAGUGCAGAAGGGGAGAGUGGAAUUCCAUGUGUAGCGGUGAAAUGCGUAGAUAUAUGGAGGAACACCGGUGGCGAAAGCGGCUCUCUGGUCUGUAACUGACGCUGAGGCUCGAAAGCGUGGGGAGCGAACAGGAUUAGAUACCCUGGUAGUCCACGCCGUAAACGAUGAGUGCUAGGUGUUGGAUCCUUUCCGGGAUUCAGUGCCGCAGCUAACGCAUUAAGCACUCCGCCUGGGGAGUACGACCGCAAGGUUGAAACUCAAAGGAAUUGACGGGGGCCCGCACAAGCGGUGGAGCAUGUGGUUUAAUUCGAAGCAACGCGAAGAACCUUACCAGGUCUUGACAUCCCGAUGCUAUUUCUAGAGAUAGAAAGUUACUUCGGUACAUCGGUGACAGGUGGUGCAUGGUUGUCGUCAGCUCGUGUCGUGAGAUGUUGGGUUAAGUCCCGCAACGAGCGCAACCCCUAUUGUUAGUUGCCAUCAUUCAGUUGGGCACUCUAGCGAGACUGCCGGUAAUAAACCGGAGGAAGGUGGGGAUGACGUCAAAUCAUCAUGCCCCUUAUGACCUGGGCUACACACGUGCUACAAUGGUUGGUACAACGAGUUGCGAGUCGGUGACGGCAAGCUAAUCUCUUAAAGCCAAUCUCAGUUCGGAUUGUAGGCUGCAACUCGCCUACAUGAAGUCGGAAUCGCUAGUAAUCGCGGAUCAGCACGCCGCGGUGAAUACGUUCCCGGGCCUUGUACACACCGCCCGUCACACCACGAGAGUUGUAACACCCGAAGUCGGUGAGGUAACCUUUUGGAGCCAGCCGCCUAAGGUGGGAUAGAUGAUUGGGGUGAAGUCGUAAC